GGCGUUGACUCGGUUUGUGGCGUGAUCAAACGGAAGAUGGUGGCGGUGCGCUAGGGUUUGAAUGGUGGAAGAAAGUAGGAUGGUGAGAAAAAACACAAUGCGACCAGCAACAAAUGACGCGAAAGCACACAAAUUCAACAAUGCGGAUUAUCGAAAGAAAGUGCGAGGCUCAAAAGGGUGCUAGGAUAAGGUCUAACCUGAAUUUUUAUGUGGUUUUGUGGACUGUAGGAGAAAAAAACACUCGAUAAACUCACCGAUCAACCUGGAAAUUUGAUACCACUUGAUAUAACUGAAGUGCCCGAUCUUUCGGUGAGUGGAGAUAAUUCCGAUUUGGCGGAAGAUGACCCUCACGAUUUGACUACGACGAACAAGCCCGAGGCGCCAAUGCAAUUGCUGAACCAACUCCCUAUGGUUACCGACCUUGCUGAUGCGAGAUCGGCCUGAUCACGAAGAUCGUUUCCUGUGCGCAAUCGAAGAACGAACAAGAAAAAGAUGCAAGAAAUCUAAUUUAUUACUCGAGGGUGGAGUUUUGAAUGCACGAAGAUAGCGCUGAUUUGCGCGUGUUCGAGAGUAGCUAAAGCUAACGUAAAACAAAACUCGAAGAACAAAGGAGGCGCAGCUCCUGGAUAAAUAGAGAGAGAGGCACAGCCCCUAGUGGCGGCCAACCCUAGGUCGUCCACUAUGGGCCACAAUUGGGCUGGUCAUCUAUUCUUCUGGGCCCUCAUUCUUCAGUAGCAUGACGAAGUUAAGAUCUCUGGCACGGGCCUGAGUGAUUGGCCCAGCUAAUGAAGGAAGUGGCGCUUGAUGUGGAGGUGCUGCUGGUGUAGUUGUACUCAUGUUGUAGGUGAUGUCCUCAUCACGUUGCGUGCAAAAUGUGCACUUUUCCAUGUUACCAAACAAGCGAGCAGCAUGCAAAUCAUCAAAAAUAGCACACAAAUGUUCUAAAUGCUCCUCUAUAGACUUGCUGUAAAUAAGGAUAUCAUUGAAAUAAACAAAAACAAACAAACCUAUGAAGGCCCGUAGAACUUCGUUCAUUAAACGCAUAAAGGUGCUGGGAGCAUUAGUCAAUCCAAAUGGCAUAACCAACCAUUCAUAUAAACCAAAUUUCGUUUUAAAAGUCGUUUUCCAUUCAUCAACGAGUUUCAUUCUAAUGUGAUGGUAACCGCUACGCAAAUCAACCUUAGAGAAAAUAACGGCACCACUAAGCUCAUCCAACAUAUCAUCAAGGCGUGGAAUAGGAUAUCGAUUACGAACUGUGAUGUUAUUAAUAGCACGACAAUCUACGCACAUACGCCAUGACCCAUCUUUCUUUGGAACGAGUAAAACAGGAACCGAGCAAGGGCUAAGAGACUCACGAAUGUAACCUUUAUCAAGCAGCGUCUGCACCUGGCGCUGGAUCUCCUUCGUCUCAUCUGGAUUUGUACGAUACGGGGCGCGACUCGGAAGAGAAGCGCCAAGGAUGAGAUCGAUCUGAUGCUCAAUGCCACGGAGCAAAGGAAGACAUGGUGGUAAGUCUGUAGGAAAAACAUCAGCAAACUCCUGCAAAAAGGUUAACAACAAUAGGGGGUAUAUCCAAAGACGGUGCAUCAUCAAGCGGAACAAGCAUGCGCGAGCAUACAAGUGCAUAAAAGGGCAUAUGAGCUUCAUGGAGAUCAUCAAAAUCAGCACGUGUAGCAAAUAAAAUAGGUGAGUGCAACUUGAUUUCGGAUUUAAUAGGUGCGGCUGAUGUCGAUUUGACUUGUUGUGUACUUUUAGCAGCCCUAGUAAGAUCAUCUUUCAAAAUUUUGUCAGGGGUCAUUGGAUGUAUAAUUGUUUUCUGGCCUUUAAACAUGAAAGAAUAAUGAUUUGAACGACCAUGAUGUAAACUAUCAGUAUCAUAUUGCCAAGGUUGACCCAAUAACAAAGAGCAUGCUUCCAUAGGAAUAACAUCGCAAUCAUCAUAAUCAGAAUAAGAACCCAACGAAAAGGGGACACGUACCGAACGUGUUACCUUUAUUUUACCACCAUCAUUAACCCAUUGAAUGUGAUACGGAUGUGGGUGUGCGUGAGUGGGCAAGGAUAAUUUCUCUACCAAAGCUGUACUUGCCAAAUUGUUGCAGCUGCCACUAUCGAUGAUGAUGCGAAUCGAUCGUUCGUGCACAACGCCCUUGGUAUGGAAUAGAGUGUGUCGCUGAUUUUUUUCGGCCUCGGCAACCUGUGUGCUGAGAACACGCUGCACAACAAGGCUCUCAUACCUAUCGGCGUCGAUGGGAUCAACGUGGACUUCCUCAUUUUCUGCAUUGUUAGUGGCAAUCAUAGCAUGACUAGUUUCCUUAGAAUCACUGGCUAAAGAGUACUCACCAUUGUCACGUAUAAGCAAGGUACGCUUGUUUGGGCUGUCCCGAAUCAUGUGCCCAUACCCUCUGCAACGAUGGCACUGAAUAUCCCAUGUACGUCCUGUUUAAGAAACGGCGCCUUUGGCAAGGGGCGCCGCUGGCUUGGCCGUCCCUGUGCGCGGUGUAGUGCUAGGCGUAGAAGGUGUAGGGUUGGAAGGAGUUGAGUUGUGUGUCGAACCCCGGCCUGCAAAAGAGUUAGUAUAUGUCUUUGAUCGUCGUCCAUGCACUUCACGUUCAACUUUGCAAGCAUAUUCAAACAAUGUGAUUAUAUCAAAAUAAUCCUUAUAAUCAAGUAUAUCCUGAAUUUCCCUGUUUAAACCACCACGAAAACGCGCCAUAGCAGCGUCAUCUGACUCAACCAAACCAGAACGAAGCAUACCCUUUUGUAACUCCUGGUAAUAUUUUUCAACAGAUUGUGAACCUUGUUGAAAACGCUGCAUUUUGUUAAGCAAAUCACGGGCAUAAUAGGAAGGAAUAAAUAUGUGGUGCAUGGCAGUUUUUAAUUGGGUCCAAGAAGUGACACUGUUAAUGGGAAGUUUUUGUUUAUACUCACGCCACCAAAUUAAAGCAAAAUCAGUUAAUUCACUAAUGGCAGCCUUCACUUGGCUAUUAGCAGGAUUAUCAUGGCAUGAAAAUUUCUGUUCUACCUCCAAUUCCCAAUCAAGAUAUGCAACAGGAUCAUAUUUACCAUUAAAAGAUGGAAUUUUAAAUUUAAUCUUAGCAAAUAAGUCAUUAGGGGGAUGAUGAACCACACGGCGUGCACGACCACGACGAUCUCCAUCGUCUUGCUCAGUGUCACCGUCGUAGUCCUGCUCUAUCUUUGUGGUCAACGCAUCAAGGCGUGCCAGGAUGGUGUCGAGUGUGGUGCGAGUCGCCGUUUGAGCAAGGUCAAGCUGGUUGAAACGCGCGGUCGUCGAAGUGACUGUUGAAUCAAGUCGUUCAUGCAUCGUCCUAAUGUUAGCAGCAAGUCCAUCAACUUGUCCCCUUAUUUCCUACAACUGGACAUACACCGUGUCGUGUUCUCCUGCCCACACCAGAGAUCGAUUACGCGGCGCACACGGACUUGAUUCGAAGCGUAACUGGGUGCCAAAUAAUGCAGAGGAGGUAUCGAAUCGAUCCAACGGUCAAUACCGAUGGCUGGGAGGUUGGGUGAAGUUGUCCACGCGGCAUGACGAGUUCAUGGCGUCGCUGCAUGACAGCGAGAAAUUCCUCGCCACCCCAUUGAUCACAGUUCCUGGCAUCGCAAUGGAAACGUCGCACAACACCUGACGAAGCACUCCAAUUUGUCUUUGCGCCCUAAACAACUGUAUGCACUAGGAACCAAUGGCGGCCCACUUCCCUAGAUCUCCUUCCCUGCCCCAUGGUGAUGGUGCUUCCUGUCUAGACCUCGAGGGUAGCUCGGGUUUGAUGGAGGGGGAAGGGGGGUACAGAACUUUGACUUAUAUGCACCACGGCGAAGUCCGUGCGGUGGAAACCGAAAGGCGAACACCGCGACGAGGGUCACAUGUGGUCUGCGCCGGUUGUUUAGGUGAGGAAGAACAGUCUGGCGAGGCAGCCCCACACGUCAGUGGCGCCAGGCGCAUAGACCGCCAAUUCGCGCAAGCAUGAGCGAAGGGACCUGUGACCGGGGCCCGCGCGUCAUAGGGACUACGGUUGGCGCGCGUGUGGUGGGUGUGUGAGGCUGAGCAGGGGUCGUGCAUAAGCGACAACGGUGAGGAAACAAGAGCGCAUGGUGAGAAGGGCAGGUCCCACCGGUUAGUGACUCGUGCGAGCGAGGGUGCAGCUGACGCAUGGGGGCCACACCGCAGAAAGAGAAGGGAUAGGAAUGAGUGGGCUGAGAGGCGGAGGGAUUUUGGCCAAGGGUUUCGGGGGCACCAAGACCCGAGCGCUAACAUAAUCACCAGGUAUGCUGGGACCAAGUCUCACACAUAUGAUGAAUCAUGGCACAGGAUCGAAUGUCACAUCUUUACUACAUAAUAGGAGUUCUAUACAAAAUAAAUAAAUAAUUACAUCAUAUGGAGACAACGAUCCAGCAACCCAAAGUUGACUGGGAGACGACGACCUAGACCUCUCACGAACUCGUCACAUCAUCCUCCAUGCGCCUCAUCCUGUGGUACCUGUUCUUGACCUAUGGGGGUGUGAGACAGCAAGUGUGAGCUCACAUACGUUCAUCACUCAACAAGUUGUGGGGAAUAAUGUGCAUGAACUCGCCAAAGGUGGGAGCUCAGGUGAAGUGUAAGGCUUAACAAAGAGGAUGGUUAGAGCUGAGCAUUGCUUUUAAAGUUGGUCAAAAUUUUAUUAGCAAUUACUAAGUAUAAGUAAACACCAACCCAAAUAAGUAGUAGACCAAAAGUAAUAACAACACCCGCAAUGCAAUGCAUAUGACAAAUUGAAUUUAGUUCCAUAAAUUAAUCAUGUGAGUGUCCGAGCUGCUCAUGACCGUGAGCACGGCUAGUAUACCAGUUUUACACUCUACAGAGGAUGCACAUCUUUAAUCACAAGUCAUGUUACCCAUGUGCCAAGGGAUCGCGACUUCCCAUACACCUCUACCGAGGAGGCGAGGCAGGGUAACACUAUGAGGCCUUUACAAAGUUCCACUAGCUUCAGAAAACCCGCUACAGUUUCUAGGAAGCUCCAAUGCAGAGACGCCUCGCCUGACCGCCAUCGUAGCAAAAUCAACCCAAGGGCCUCCCUACAGUGACCAUUCCCCAACUACCCUUGCCCCUUUUGGGUAAGGUAGUCCUCCACUAGCUUUCCUAAUUAGUCAGCCAAGGGCAUCCCAUACCACCCUUGUGGUAGCACUGUUUUCCCGGGUGGUUCUCCAUGUUCCCAUUAACAUAACGAUCUUAACAUGAACAUAAAUAACAUCUGAGUAUUAAAGUAUAAUCAUGAAUAGUGUGUAUCUCUAUACCAAAAACCACAUAAAGCAAUAGCAGGUACUACCCAAAAAUUCAGUGGUGAACAAGGUAUAAAUAUAGUCAAAGUGUAACACCCCAGGUGUUACCCAAGGCCUGGCUCCAUACAUGCACUUAUGACAUGCAUCACAUGUGUUUAAGUGGAGGAGAAGGAGCACCAAAACCUUGGAAACCAUGGGUUUAACUAAGGAGGGUUCAUGACAAAAGCAUUACCCAAACAUUUUAUGCAAUGGUCACCUUGGACAAAAGAGGAUCAAAUUCUAGACCCCCCUUAAAGACCUAGACCUCCAAGCAAGAGAUUAGUGGGAAAGCUAAUCAAAUGGCCAAUUCUUGUUUUCAACCCUUAACAAAGUUUAAGUACACUAAUGUAUCUACAAAAACAGUAUGGGAAACAUUUCAAAAAGGCCCCUUAAAGACCCCAAAUCAAUUCAUUAAGUAGAGAGCACACUAGAGCUCUCCACUUUUCUCUAAGUCCAAAAUCAACCCUUCUCUCUAAGUUCACCUAGUUAAUGGCGUCAAAACCACUUGGUCUGAGUAUCAAAAAGGAGCCAAACUACCUAAGGAAACCACUGGAAAAAUUUGAACCCGAGCCAAAACCGUUUGACAUGAUUUGACAUCCCUUUUGUCUCAGGGUGAACAGUGUGACAGCCCCGAUUUGGCGUCCGCAUAUCUUCUGAACUAGGGCGUAUCGUCCAUUGGAACUCACACAUAAGAGCUAUCCCUAGGUGCCAGGAAGAGUUCGGCGCAAGACACAUGGUAAGAUUCGCACGUUUGCGAUCUCUGCAAACGUUUGAAAAGGGGCAGAAACAAACGACCACGUGUUCGACGCGCCCUGGCAUCGCCAGAGCACGCCCCGGCGCUCGGCCCCGCGCACACCGCACUGUGCCAAGCUAAAACCGUGCCCCUGCCCGCGCUCGCACCUAUAAAGCCAAUCGAGGCUACGACCGUAGGCCCCCGCUCGCUCUCAACCUCGCCGGAGUGCAAGUUCACCGGCGUUUGCUCUGUGCACGGCGUGCCAGCGGCCACCCGAGAACCCACCACCGUAGACCAGCCAUCCUAGCCAUUCCCUGCCCCGUCCAACCCUCGAGAGUCUCCAUGUGUCUCGGUAAAGCUCCCAGAGCCAGGAAUCGAACUCUACCUCACCGGAGACACCGGAUCAACGUCGCCGGACUUCACCAGAUCGUCGGCGUACGUAGACCGAGCUCCACGGUGAGUCUUUCUUCGAUUCCUUGCACGGGUCGACUUCUUAGCACCCCGUGAAGCUCCAUGUGCCCUUGGAUUGAACCAUACCGCCGUGUGCAGGCCAGAACACACGCCGCCGAUAAGCCCGACCACCUGCGCACGUGGCCCGACCAAUUCCGGCCAUCACCGACAACGAGCUAUACCUCGACGUGACUGCAAGGACUUCCCGGAGCUAACCUCGCCCUUCGUCGGACCUCCCUCGCCGCCGGUAAGCCACGCCACCUAGUUUACUUCCGCGGUUACUGUUUAAAAGGGGGGAGGGACCUCAGGGAGGAAGGAAAAUAAGUGAGGGGUUUUUUUGAAUGGUUAGAGACUCAGAGGAAUAAUCGUGCAGGGGCAUAAGUGAGAGAGUUGGUUAAAGAAAAACCCAAGGUCCUCGGUGUAAAUUGGCUUUUCAGAAAACCUUUUAAAUAUUAUCCUUUUAAAUACAAAUAGAGCUUGUAAAAUUCAUAACUUCAGUUCUAUUCAGCCAAAUUUGGUCAAACCAAUUUUGCUAGGUUCUAAAUAAUGUGAACUACUUAGGAAAAAUAUAAAACACCCUAAAUAUUGUAGAAGAUUUUAAAGUUUUGAAUUAAACAGUAAACUGGCCAAGAACUAAAUAAAAGAAAGAAAAAUAGCUACACUGUCAGACAAGGGUUAAGAAAAAUCAGAGAGGUACUUAACCACUCCCUAAUUUGUUUAAAAAUAGUAUACCCCUCAGUACACCAAAUUAAGGAAAGGUUUACCAUUUAAACUCAUUUUUGCCCCAAGUUAGGGAAAAUAGAAAAGGUAGUUUAAAAUAAGAACCAGGGGGCAACCACAUUUUUGCUAGCUCACUUAUUCAACAUAGUUCACUGGAAAAUUUUGUUAGACCCUCUGUUAGUGCAAAAGAAAUGCAUUACUUCUUAUUUUAUGGGAAACAAUGAAAACUUAGAAAAAUCUUAGAAAACUAAUCCUGAGGGGAAACCACCCCAAACCUUGGGAUAACUCAUAAUAUGUUAUUAUGAAUCUAGGAAAAAUGUAAGUUUUGUUGUUUGACAUUUUUCAAAUAGCAAGUUAGUUAUAAGUGCCUUUUUGGCAUUAAACCUUAGAAAAUUACAACUAAAUAUCCAGUAGGCCUUUUUCUGUGAUUUUUAACACAAAGACCUAUUAUUCCCUAGGAAUCUUGGCAAAAAUAAAUGUUGACCCAGAAACCUCGCAGAAAUUAGAGCUAAAGUGUAAAGUGCCCUUUUACCCUUACUUUUGUUAAUUUUGCACAAUGAGCAUCUGAAUUAAUUUCAACCUCAAAAUUUUUAGGAUAACCCAAAGAGGUCAAUAUUUACCCACUGUAAUUUUUAUAACAUUUUUGGAAGAUGUUAACUUGCCAUGGCAAUAUAAAAGCACUCACUAAAGAAGCUUAAUUGAAAGUAAAAUAAGGAAAGUGGGGAGAAUAGUGGAAUGCAACCUUAAAUCUUCCAAGAGCUAAAGCCCUAAGAGUACCACUAAAUUUAGUAUUGUUCUACCAUGCAUAACCUUUACCAAUUUACCAUGACAUUAAUAUGCAUCUAUCUUAUUCAUUGCAUUUGAUAGACUGUAAUCUCGCUGACGGGGAGUACAUCCUCAUUCCGGAGCAAGGAGUUGCUAAGGAGGUAGUCCAGGAGCCAGCACCAGAGUCUGCCAUCGAGGAUCUGCCUGCCUUAGCUUUGGAAGGCAAGCCCCGGUUUUAUGCAUGACCUACUAUUAUGCUAUUUUACUACACUUAAUGUUUGUAGGUUUGUAAUGUGCACUUAAGUGUAGGAGUUGUUUGGAACCUUAGUUGCAUGAACUCAGGUUUUUCCCUUGUGAUGGAUACAAGUAUGCUAGGUCGAGUAGCUGCUUUACUAAUUAGGGAUCUCGGUAGAAGUCGAGUGAUUUUUCUAGCACUCGCGCGAGGUCAGGAAUUGGUUGUAUCCAUUUUCAUAUCGUUAUGAUGUUGGUCUGUGGACAACAAUCUAUGGGGAUUGGUUGUCUACGAGACGGAAAUUGAAAUAAGGAUUAAGGUGUGGUACCGUGCGUCAAGCGUUUGAACGUACUAAACAUAUGCCAAGAAAUAUGGUAAAUCAGUAAGCCUAGUACCUGACGGAACCUGCCCGCAGAUUGCCCUCCUCACGCGACCUGAGACGUGGUCUCCCAUUCCGGUUAUGGUGGGUACAAGUGUGGUCACUGCACGACGGAAGUCGGGGUCAGUGAGGCUGAUGAGGACAUCACUAUGAGUACUACUACACCAGCAGCACCUCCACAUCAAGCGCCACUUCCUUCAUUAGCUGGGCCAAUCACUCGGGCCCGUGCUAGAGAUCUUAACUUCGUCAUGCUACUGAAGAAUGAGGGCCCAGAAGAAUAGACGACCAGCCCAACUGCGGCCCAUAGUGAACGACCUAGGGUUGGCCGCCCUAGGGGCUGCGCCCCCUCUAUUUAUGCAGGAGCUGCGCCUCCUUUAUUUUCGAGUUUUGUUUUACGAUAGCCUUAGCUACUCUCGAACACGCGCAAAUCUGCGCUGUCUUCGUGUAUUCAGAACUCCACCCUCGAGUAAUAGAUUAGAUUGCUCGCAUCCUUUUCUUGUUCGUUCUUCGAUUGCGCACAGGAAACGAUCUUCGUGAUCAGGCCGAUCUCGCAUCAGCAAGGUCGGCAACCACAUGGAGUUCGUUUAGCGAUUACAUUGGCGCCUCGGGCUUGCUCGUCGUAGUCGGAUCACAAGGGUCAUCUUCCGCCAAAUCGGAAUUAUCUCUACUCGCCGAAAGAUCGGGCACCUCAGCUACAUCAAUUGGUAUCAGAUUUCCAGGUUGAUCGGUGAGUUUAUCGAGCGUUUUUUCCUACAGUCCACAAAACCACAUAAAAAUUCAGGUUAGAUCUUAUCCCAGCACCCUUUUGAGCCUCGCACUUUCUUUCAAUAAUCUGCAUUGUUGAAUUUGUGUGCUUUCGCGUCAUUUGUUGCUGGUUGCAUUGUGUUCUUCCACCAUUCAAACCCCGCUGCCACCAUCUCCCGUUUGAUCACGCCACAAACCGAGUCAACAUCGUUUCCUUGUUUUUCUCCUUCGGUUACGAAAAAACAGAAGAAAAACAAACCGAGUCAACGACCGCUUCCUUGUUUUUCUCCUUCGGUUACUCAAAAAAAACAGAAACAAAAAAAAGAAAACGAAGGAGAAAGGAUACGGUUGUUUCAUCCCGGUCGUUUUUAAAACAUAACUUGAGGUACCUUCCGUAAAACGGGCAUAACUUUUCGCUCGGUUGUCCAAAAAAAUCUGAAAUUUUUACAGGAGCUAGUUGACACCAUUCUGAGGCCGGCCAAACUCACCUACGGUCUGUUUGGGGUUCGACAAAAUUGUCAAAAAAAUUCAGGAAAAUAAAGAAAAAAAAUUCAUCAAAGUUCUCGCACGCUUUUCAGAGAACUUCCUGAUUUUCUAUAGACCACAUCUGAUUUCUGUUUUAGGUGAAACUUCGUGUAGCUCCUAUUUUGUUGCUUCUUGUGCUGAGAAAAAUAUCAAAAAAAUCAUACAAAAAAGAAAAACAAAAUCACUUGUGAUUCCUACUAGUGGCCUCGCUAGUACAAUAUUUACGGUACUGCCAUUCUGCUAGUUCCAUCCGUCCUUUGCACUUGUGGCUAGCAAUAUAGUUUCGUGUUUUGCACUAUAAUUCAACUUUGCAUUAUUGUUUGAUCGUGCUAAUCCUUGACUUGAGUGCAGCCUACCCAGAACUCCACAUAUUUCUACGACGAGAAGGUUUCUGUUUCUCCAGGCAAUCGCUCAUCCAAUCUUUCACCGGUUCCACCUGUUGGUUGCAGUUCACCACUGUGGCUUGGUAAGAACGGAUAAGAACUUGAUAACAGCACUAGUGUGAGCGCCUUGUGAGCAGUACACCCCUGUUUUUGUCGUUGUUUUUUCUCUUCUUUUGGUGUUCUGGUGUUUGCACUAACUAUGGCAGGAGCACACGACACGGUGGAUGCCCAGUUGCUGGAAGUAAGGGGACAAGUUGAUGGACUUGCUGCUGACAUUAGGACGAUGCAUGAACGGCUUGAUUCAACGGUCACUUCGACGACCGAGCGUUUCAACCAGCUUGACCUUGCUCAAACGGCGACUCGCACCACACUCGACACCAUCCUGGCACGCCUUGAUGCGUUGACCACAAAGAUGGAGCAGGAAUACGGCGGUGACACUGAGCAGGACGAUGGAGAUCGCCGUGGUCGUGCACGUCGUGUGGUUCGUCAUCCCCCUAAUGACUUAUUUUCUAAGAUUAAAUUUAAAAUUCCAUCUUUUAAUGGUAAAUAUGAUCCUGCUGCAUAUCUUGAUUGGGAAUUGGAGGUAGAACAGAAAUUUUCAUGCCAUGAUAUUCCUGCUAAUAGCCAAGUGAAGGCUGCCAUUAGUGAAUUUACUGAUUUUGCUUUAAUUUGGUGGCGUGAGUAUAAACAAAAACUUCCCAUUAACAGUGUCAUUACUUGGACCCAAUUAAAAACUGCCAUGCGCCACAGAUUUGUUCCUUCCUAUUAUGCUCGUGAUUUGCUUAACAAAAUGUAGCGUUUUCAACAAGGUUCACUAUCUGUUGAGGAAUAUUACCAGGAGUUACAAAAGGGUAUGCUUCGUUGUGGUUUGGUUGAGUCAGAUGACGCUGCUAUGGCGCGUCUUCGUGGUGGUUUGAAUAGGGAAAUUCAGGAUAUACUUGAUUAUAAGGAUUAUUUUGAUAUAACUACAUUGUUUGAAUAUGCUUGCAAAGCUGAACGUGAAGUGCAGGGACGACGAUCAAAGACAUAUACUAACUCUUUUGCAGGUCGUGGUCCAACACACAGCUCAACUCCUUCCAGCCCUGCACCUUCUACGCCUAGCACUACAUCGCGCACAGGGACGACCAAGCCAGUGGCGCCCCCUGCCAAAGGCGCCGCUUCUUCCACAGGACGUACACGGGAUAUUCAGUGCCAUCGUUGCAGAGGGUUUGGGCACAUGAUCCGAGACUGCCCAAACAAGCGUACCUUGCUUAUACGUGACAAUGGUGAGUACUCUUCAGCCAGUGAUUUUGAGGAAACUAGUCAUGCUAUGAUUGCCACUAACCAUGCAGAAAAUGAGGAAGUCCACGUUGAUCCCAUCGACGCCGAUAGGUAUGAGAGUCUUGUUGUGCAGCGUGUUCUCAGCACACAGGUUGCCCAGGCCGAAAAAAAUCAGCGACACACUCUAUUCCAUACCAAGGGCGUCGUGCACGAACGGUCGAUUCGCAUCAUCAUCGUUAGUGGCAGCUGCAACAAUUUGGCAAGUACAGCGUUGGUAGAGAAAUUAUCCUUGCCCACUCGCACACAUCCACAUCCGUAUCACAUUCAAUGGCUUAAUGAUGGUGGUAAAAUAAAGGUAACACGUUCGGUACGUGUCCCCUUUUCGCUGGGUUCUUAUUCUGAUUAUGCUGAUUGCGAUGUUAUUCCUAUGGAAGCAUGCUCUUUGUUAUUAGGUCGACCUUGGCAAUAUGAUACUGAUAGUUUACAUCAUGGUCGUUCAAAUCAUUAUUCUUUCAUGUUUAAAGGCCAGAAAAUAAUUAUACAUCCAAUGACCCCUGACCAAAUUUUGAAAGAUGAUCUUACUAGGGCUGCUAAAACUGCACAACAAGUCAAAUCGACAUCAGCCGCACCUAUUAAAUCUGAAAUCAAGUUGCACUCUCCUGUUUUACUUGCUACACAUGCUGAUUUUGAUGAUCUCCAUGAAGCUCAUAUGCCCUGUUAUGCACUUGUAUGCUCGCGCAUGCUUGUUCCGCUUGAUGAUGCACCGUCUUUGGAUAUACCCCCUGCUGUUGUUAACCUUUUGCAGGAGUAUGCUGAUGUUUAUCCUACGGAUUUACCACUGGGUCUUCCUCCCCUCCGUGGCAUUGAGCAUCAGAUCGAUCUCAUCCCCGGCGCUUCUCUUCCGAACCGCGCCCCGUACCGUACAAAUCUAGAGGAGACGAAGGAGAUCCAGCGCCAGGUGCAGACGCUGCUUGAUAAGGGUUACAUUCGUGAGUCUCUUAGCCCUUGCUCGGUUCCUGUUUUACUCGUUCCAAAGAAAGAUGGGUCAUGGCGAAUGUGCGUAGAUUGUCGUGCUAUUAAUAACAUCACAGUUCGUUAUCGAUAUCCUAUUCCACGCCUUGAUGAUAUGUUAGAUGAGCUUAGUGGUGCCGUUAUUUUCUCUAAGGUUGAUUUGCGUAGCGGUUACCAUCAGAUUAGAAUGAAACUCGGUGAUGAAUGGAAAACGGCUUUUAAAACGAAAUUUGGUUUAUAUGAAUGGUUGGUUAUGCUAUUUGGAUUGACUAAUGCUCCCAGCACCUUUAUGCGUUUAAUGAACGAAGUUCUAUGGGCCUUCAUAGGUUUGUUUGUUGUUGUUUAUGUCGAUGAUAUCCUUAUUUACAGCAAGUCUAUAGAGGAGCAUUUAGAACAUUUGCGUGUUGUUUUUGAUGCUUUGCGUGCUGCUCGCUUGUUUGGUAACAUGGAAAAGUGCACAUUUUGCACGCAACGUGUCUCGUUUCUUGGUUAUGUGGUUACUCCGCAGGGCAUUGAGGUGGAUAGCAGCAAGAUUGCUGCCAUUCGGGAGUGGCCUACACCAACGACGGUCACACAAAUUCGGAGCUUUCUUGGACUUGCCGGUUUCUACCGCAGAUUUGUUCGUGAUUUUAGCUCCAUCGCAGCGCCUCUACAUGAGCUUACAAAGAAAGAUGUGCCAUUUGCUUGGAGUGAUUCGCAGGAGGUAGCGUUCAGCACUUUGAAAGAUAAGUUAACCCAAGCUCCCCUCUUGCAAUUGCCUGAUUUUAAUAAAGUUUUUGAGCUUGAAUGCGAUGCUAGCGGUAUUGGACUAGGUGCUGUUUUGUUACAAGAAGGAAAACCAGUUGCUUAUUUUAGUGAAAAAUUAAGCGGUGCUAGUCUGAAAUAUUCUACUUAUGAUAAGGAGCUUUACGCUUUAGUGCGCACUUUGCAUACAUGGCAGCACUAUCUUUGGCAUCGUGAGUUCAUAAUUCAUUCUGAUCAUGAGGCUUUAAAACAUAUUCGUACCCAAACAAAUCUGAACCGUCGUCAUGCUAAAUGGGUCGAAUUCAUUGAGUCCUUUCCUUACAUUAUUAAACACAAGAACGGGAAGGACAAUGUUAUUGCUGAUGCUUUGUCUCGUCGCUAUACCAUGCUGUCACAAUUAGAUUUUAAAAUCUUUGGUUUGGACACUGUGAAGGAUCAAUAUGUUGACGAUGCUGAUUUUAAAGAUGCUUUCGGCCAUUGUAUUAAUGGGAUACCAUGGGGCAAAUUUCACAUACAGGAUGGGUUCCUGUUUCGCGCUAACAAGCUGUGUGUUCCAGCUAGUUCGGUUCGUCUUUUGUUGUUACAGGAGGCGCAUGGAGGCGGUCUCAUGGGGCAUUUUGGCGUCUACAAAACGCAUGAGGUGUUGGCUGCCCACUUCUUUUGGCCUCGGAUGCGCGCUGAUGUUGAGCGCCUUGUUGCACGCUGCACUACUUGUCAGAAAGCUAAGUCACGGUUGAACAACCAUGGUUUGUAUAUGCCUUUGCCUGUCCCUUCUACUCCUUGGCUUGAUAUCUCUAUGGACUUUGUUUUGGGCUUGCCUAGAACUAAGAAGGGGAGGGAUAGUAUUUUUGUGGUUGUUGAUAGAUUCUCUAAAAUGGCUCACUUUAUACCUUGUCAUAAAACUGAUGAUGCUAGCAUUGUUGCUGAAUUGUUCUUUAGAGAAACUAUUCGUUUACAUGGUAUUCCAAAAACAAUAGUCUCUGAUCGCGAUGCUAAGUUUCUAAGCCAUUUUUGGAGAUCUCUUUGGAAUAAAUUGGGAACUAAAUUGUUGUUUAGCACUACUUGUCACCCUCAGACUGAUGGACAAACUGAGGUAGUAAAUAGAACUUUAUCUACCAUGCUUAGGGCUGUUUUAGACAAGAAUUUGAGACGUUGGGAGGAUUGCUUGCCUCAUGUUGAAUUUGCUUACAAUCAUGCCACACAUUCUUCUACAAAGAUGUGCCCUUUCCAGAUUGUUUAUGGUUACAUCCCUAGGGCACCUAUUGAUUUGAUUUCACUUAAUGCUACGAACGCCCCACAUAUAGAUGCUGCUGCACAUGUUGAACAAAUGAUUACCAUACAUGAACAAACGAAACAGAACAUUGCUGCUACUAAUGCAAAAAAUCAGGUUGCUGGUAGUAAAGGAAGAAAACAUGUUACUUUUGAGCCAGGUGAUAUGGUUUGGUUGCACUUGAGAAAGGAUCGGUUUCCUACUUUGCGCCGUUCUAAAUUAAUGCCUCGUGCUGCUGGUCCUUUUAAGGUGCUAACAAAGAUUAAUGAUAAUGCUUAUAUCCUUGACCUGCCUGCGGAAUUUGGUGUUUCCACUAGUUUUAAUGUUGCAGAUUUGAAACCAUAUAUGGCCGAGGAUGAGGAGUUGUCGUCGAGGACGACUUCACUUCAAGAAGGGGAGGAUGAUGAGGACAUCACUAUGAGUACGACUACACCAGCAGCACCUCCACAUCAAGCGCCACUUCCUUCAUUAGCUGGGCCAAUCACUCGGGCCCGUGCCAGAGAUCUUAACUUCGUCAUGCUACUGAAGAAUGAGGGC
rnacentral:lncRNA from 1 species